CCGGCCGGCGGCGCCCAGGACUGCCCUGCAGAGCCUUCCCGAGGGGGCGUCGGCUCAGCCCGGCGCUCGGGGCUGCUACGGUGGUUCGGGUCGGAGACCCCUGAGAUCUUAAAGAUUUGUCCAGUGAGAAUUAGGUGCAGACUGUUCCAGAGACAAGGAAACAGUCACUGGGGAGAGAGAAAGUGGAUGUCAGGUUCAGGGACCUGCAGAACGGCCCGUGUGACUAGAGAGUGAGUGGCAGGAGAAAAGUCUCGGGAAGCGGAAGCUGGAAAGACACCAGUUCCAUGACAACCUAGGCUAAACAGGGAGAUCCUGUCUUUAAAUUCACCAAAUGUGUAUUUGGAUUUUGUUCCAGAUGCAAUGGGAAGGAACUGGAGGAUUUUCGACCAGGAUAGUGACAUGACCUUAUUUGGUUUGUGAAGAUCUGUGGUAUAAAUAGAUUAUAAUGGGGGGAGGGGCAGCGAAUGUAGGGACACCAGAAAUGGCCCCGCAGUCUAAGACAGAGAAUUGUGGUUUUUAGUUAUGGUAGUCAAGAAAGAGAAAAAUGAGCAGAUGUGUGUGUUUUGCAGACAGAAGGAAGAACUUGCUGAUAACAGAGAAAGCGAUGAAGAAUAACCUGAAAUGUUUGUUAGUUUGCCCCUACCAGGUGUUUAGUGAUAUUUACAGAGUAAGGUUGUGGGGAGAGCCUUAGAUUUAGUGCAUAAACAGGAAACAAUAAUAUGAAUUGUUAUAAUAACAGGAUUUGUCUACGAUUUUGCUACCCCCUGGAGGUUUCCUUCCACCGUGGCUCUCUGCUAAAUCACCAUUAACCCUGACUUUAUAUCCAUCUCUUUCUUAGCACUCCAUAGAGCAAAUGGAGAUGAUUUUUCUACUUAAGUACCACCUAAGCUAUCUCUAGAAAGACCUAGAAGAGCGACUUUUGUCUCUAUUUUUGGGAUGCCUACAUGUCCACAAAACUCAGGAGGUUUCAAAUUCCACCAAAUCCAGCAUCCUUUCGUAAUGGGCACCAGUGCCACCACGUAGAUUGGGGAAAAUGGAGUUGAUUGCUGGUCUAAAGACUUUUCAGCCCAAACAUUGGUCUCUUGGGU
rnacentral:lncRNA from 1 species